GGGGAAUAUUGCACAAUGGGCGCAAGCCUGAUGCAGCGACGCCGCGUGAGGGAUGACGGCCUUCGGGUUGUAAACCUCUUUCAGCAGGGAAGAAGCGCAAGUGACGGUACCUGCAGAAGAAGCGCCGGCUAACUACGUGCCAGCAGCCGCGGUAAUACGUAGGGUGCAAGCGUUAAUCGGAAUUACUGGGCGUAAAGCGUGCGCAGGCGGUUAUGUAAGACAGAGGUGAAAUCCCCGGGCUCAACCUGGGAACUGCCUUUGUGACCGCAUAGCUGGAGUACGGCAGAGGGGGAUGGAAUUCCGCGUGUAGCAGUGAAAUGCGUAGAUAUGCGGAGGAACACCGAUGGCGAAGGCAAUCCCCUGGGCCUGUACUGACGCUCAUGCACGAAAGCGUGGGGAGCAAACA
rnacentral:rRNA from 1 species